rnacentral:rRNA from 1 species
UACGUAGGGGGCAAGCGUUGUCCGGAUUUAUUGGACGUAAAGAGCGUGUAGGCGGCCAUACAGGUCCGUUGUGAAAACUCGAGGCUUAACCUCGAGACGUCGAUGGAAACCGUAUGGCUAGAGUCCGGAAGAGGAGAGUGGAAUUCCUGGUGUAGCGGUGAAAUGCGCAGAUAUCAGGAAGAACACCCGUGGCGAAGGCGGCUCUCUGGGACGGUACUGACGCUGAGACGCGAAAGCGUGGGGAGCAAACAGG